rnacentral:tRNA from 1 species
GGAGGUGCGUUUCAGCUGGUGCUGGGCCCGGACUUCAAAUCCGGUGUGGGUGGGUAACGCCCGUCCAGGUGGGUUCGAUUCCCACACGCCUCCGCCA